GACAGAGGGUGCAAACGUUGUUCGCAAUUACUGGGCGUAAAGCGCGUGUAGGCGGCCCUGCAAGUCGGGUGUGAAAUCCCACGGCUCAACCGUGGAAGUGCACUCGAAACUGCAGGGCUAGAGUCCUGGAGAGGAAGGUGGAAUGCUUGGUGUAGAGGUGAAAUUCGUAGAUAUCAAGCGGAACACCGGUGGCGAAGGCGGCCUUCUGGACAGUGACUGACGCUGAGACGCGAAAGCGUGGGGAGCAAACAGG
rnacentral:rRNA from 1 species